rnacentral:lncRNA from 1 species
GAAUUACAUACCUUGUUGUUGUAAGUGUUCCUUGAAACCUUGUGAGCCUAGCACCCCAAGUGUGAUGCCUCAAAUGCUUCACACAACAUCAAAUGCUAUGGAUUAAACUUGGAGAGAAUGUAUAACACACUAAAAUUGGCUCUAACCCUCAAGUAUGCUUGUGUAACCGAUUUUGGGAGAAACAUAAGCUUUAUAUAGUGUUGACACAUCUAGGGUUACACCAUGUAAACCCUAAUGUGUCAUGACUCUUCAUUUCCAUGACCCAUGGGUUUGUAACUCCCAUGGAGCCUCCAUGGAGCAUCCAAUGGGUCCAACCCAACUUGAUUAUCCAUGGAGCCUCUUAGCCCACUAUAUAAGUUAUGGAUGAUUUACAUAAUCAACCCAUAUAUUUAAUUAGUUAUCUUUUGAUCACUUAAUUAAUUCUAAAAUUAAUUCUUGAUCAAACUAAUUAAAUAAUAUUAUUAAUAUAUUAGAGCUUAUAAUAUAUUAAUAAACCAUAUGUGUUAAUUCUCUCAUUUAGUCUAUCCAAUUGCAUGGUGCCAUGCAACCCAAAUGGACCAUGCCGGGUCGGGUCAAGUACAAGCCCGAAAUAGUUAUGGACUUAGACACCUUAUCCAACAGUCUCCCACUUGGAUAAGUCUAAUAACUAUAUCUCUAGUACUUCAGGAACCGACCGGCAAUCGUAGCUCUUUCAAGGUCUCUCGGAACUGAGAAGAUGAUGGUACGCCAUUUAAGAUAAGUGAUCAUAUAAUCCUCCGUUCUAGAUAUCAGCCGGACAAAUACAUGGAACAUUGUCUUGCUUAUUGUCCAGCAUUUGUUUCCCGAUUUCCGAUUUGUUUGACAUAGAACUUAAUUGAACACAUCAACUUAGUUCUGACCGGGCCCGGUACAUGGGUCAAAACAAAAUCAUCGAGGGGCCCAGAUAUCAGCUUCUAAUCCAAGAAGGAACAGAUAAACUUCGACUCAUAUGUUUGUUCUACCACUCAUUGAAUUACACACAAAAGUACGUUUUAUAACAUCGAGUUACCAAUGCGGUUUCGUACAGUCAAUGCAUAACCAACUUGUAAGUAACAAAUCAUAUCUCUAGGUUUGAAGACUUAUAUGAUAUUACCGUCUCACGAUCACUCGAGAUAGAAUUCCAUGAAGUGAUUCCAGUGAGCGUGGGUUGAGUCCAAUGCUCAGAACUUAUGAGCACUCAUGAUUGUUGUAGCCUUGUCCAACACCUUGGACCUCUACAACCCAUCAUGACAGUCUUGAUUCAUACCUACUUCCGACAUAUGACCGACUGUGGAGGUUUGAAUAAUAUGUUACACCAAACAAAAUUAUUCUGGAAGUCAAAACAUGCAAAAGAAAUAUAGUAAACGAUUGACAAGAGAUAGCAACACUUUACUCAUAAAUAAAACACCUUUUAUUCAUCAUCAAAUGUCAAUUACACUUUACAAAUUUCUGGGUUAUCUAACUACUAAAACUUAUAUCAUCCUUCAGCCCUAUGCUCCGAGCAUGCUGGAGAUGCUUAACCCUACUCAGUCCCUUCGUGAGGGGAUCUGCUGGGUUCUCAUCCGAUGAUACCCUCUUUGCCACGAGGAGUCCUUCUUCGAUCCGAUGUCUGAUGAAAUGGUAUUUUCUGUCGAUGUGUCUGGAUCUCCCGUGAUCCCUUGGUUCCUUGGCUAAGGCAACAGCACUUUCACUAUCACAGAAAAUUUCCAUUGGCUCUUUAAUAGCUGGUACAACUCCAAGGUCUCCAAUGAAGUUCUUCAGCCAUAUCGCCUCCUUUGCUGCUUCGCUAGCUGCAAUAUACUCUGAUUCACAAGUAGAAUCUGCCACUGUCUCUUGCUUGGAACUUUUCCAAGAAAUUGCUCCUCCGUUUAAGGUAAAGACCCAGCCCGACUGAGAGCGGAAAUUAUCCCUAUCAGUCUGGAAGCUAGCAUCACUAUACCCUACAACUCUCAAGUCAUCACUCCCACCGAGGGUAAGGACCCAGUCCUUAGUCCUCCGCAGGUACUUGAGAAUGUUCUUUACCACUGUCCAGUGAGCCUUACCAGGAUUCCCCUGAUACCUGCUAACCAUGCUUAAAGCAAAGGUUACAUCAGGACGAGUACAGGUUAUAGCAUACAUGAUCGAGCCUACUGCCGAAGCAUAAGGUAUCCGACUCAUUUCUGCUAUCUCAUUCUCAGUACUCGGGCUCUGAGUCUUACUCAGUCUAGUGUUACUCUGGAUGGGUAACUCUCCUUUCUUGGAAUCUUGCAUGCUGAAUCUCUUCAGCACCUUAUCCAAGUAGGUACUCUGACUAAGUCCAAUUAGUCUUUUACUCCGAUCUCUCAAGAUNCCCUAGAAUAUAGGCAGCUUCUCCUAGGUCCUUCAUAGCAAAACACUUCCCAAGCCAGGACUUAACUUCCUGCAGAGUUGGGAUGUCAUUUCCUAUGAGUAGUAUGUCAUCCACAUACAGUACCAAAAAGCUAACUAUACUCCCACUAGCCUUGACAUAUACACAAGAUUCAUCUUCACUCCUAGAGAAGCCAAACUCUUUGACUUUCUCAUCAAAGCAAAGAUUCCAUCUGCGAGGUGCUUGCUUUAAUCCAUAGAUGGAUUUCUCAAGCUUACACACUCUAUUAGGGUACUCUGUGCUGACAAAACCCUCUGGCUGAUUCAUGUAAUCAUCCUCAGCCAACUUUCCAUUAAGGAAAGCGGUUUUGACAUCCAUUUGCCAUAUUUCAUAAUCAUGAAAUGCAGCUAUGGCUAACAAUACCCUAAUAGACUUAAUCUUGGCUACUGGAGAAAAGGUCUCAUCAUAAUCCACUCCAGGAGUUUGAGAGAAGCCCUUUGCUACCAGUCGAGCCUUAUAAGUGUGUACAUUACCAUCCAUGUCGGUCUUCUUCUUGAAGAUCCAUUUGCACCCUAUAGUCUUACGACCUGGUACAUUCUCAACCAAGUCCCAGACCUGAUUGUCAUACAUGGAUUGUAUCUCGCUAUCCAUUGCCUCUUUCCAUUUAGCAGACUCAGGGCCUGCCAUGGCUUCCGCAUAGCUGUUAGGUUCAUCUAGACCUAUUAGUGUCUCAUCACUAAUAAGUGUCUCACCUUCCGCAGUAAUAUGAAAGCCAUAGUAAUGCUCGAGUAAAUUCCUAACCCUUGUGGAACGCCUCAGAGGUACAACUGGAGGUAUAGUCGGAUCAACAGGAGGUUCCUCUUCAAGUUGAUUGCUAGGGUUUGAGGUUCCUUCACCACUUGACUCUUGAAGUUCUACAAGGUCAAUUAGCCUCCCACUGUCUCCUUGGCUUAUAAAUUCUCUCUCUCGAAAGAUAGCCCUCCUUGCUACAAAGACCACAUUCUCACUAGGUCUGUAGAAGAGGUAACCAAAGGAUUUUUGUGGGUAGCCGAUGGAAAUACACUUCUCGCUUCGAGGUUCGAGCUUGUCAUGAGUCUCGCGUCUCACGAAAGCCUCGCAACCCCAAACCUUGAUGUGGGCUAGACUAGGAACUUUUCCAGUCCACAUCUCGUGAGGUGUUUUGGCAACCUUCUUUGUAGGGACCAGAUUAAGGAUAUGGGUGACAGUCUCUAAGGCAUACCCCCAAAAUGAGAUUGGUAGCAUAGCUCGACUCAUCAUGGAACGAACCAUGUCCAACAAGGUUCGAUUACGCCUCUCAGCUACACCAUUCAACUGUGGUGUCCUGGGAGGUGUCAAUUGUGAGACAAUCCCACAUUCCCUAAGAUAGUCGAGGAACUCUGAACUAAGAUACUCACCACCUCGAUCGGAUCGAAGCAUCUUAAUGUUCCUGCCCAAUUGAUUCUCGACUUCCUGUUUAAAUUCCUUAAACCUCUCGAAAGUCUCUGACUUAUGCUUGAUCAAGUAGACAUAUCCAUAUCUACUGUAAUCAUCAGUAAAAGUCAAAUAAUAACGAUUAGCAUCCCUUGUGGCAUGUUUGAAUGGUCCACACACAUCCGUGUGUAUAAGGUCCAACAAACCUUCACCCCUCUCACAAGAACCUGUGAAGGGUGACUUUGUCAUUUUUCCAAGUAAGCAUGAUUCGCAACUAUCAUCUGACUUUAGGUCAAAUGACUCCAAGACUCCAUCCUUUUGGAGUUGGCCUAUGCGUUUCUUGCUUAUAUGUCCAAGACGACAAUGCCAUAAUGAUGCUUUAUCCAAGUUAUUAUUAUUAGUAGAAUCAAUACACAAUACAUUAUUUCCUAAGUUAUCUACAACAGACACAGCUUCAUACACACCAUCACAAGGUAAUGCUUUAAAAUAAAACACAUUAUUAAAGAAAGCAUUUAUUCCACCAGUUUCAUUAUCAAAAGAAAAGGUAAAACCUUGUUUAUACAAAGCAUGAAAGGAAAUAACAUUUCUUGCCAUUUCUGGCGAAUAACAACAUUUAUUCAAAUCUAAAGUAAAUCCACUACUAAGCAACAAAGUAUAAACUCCAAUCUUGGUGACAGGUGAAACUUUCCUAUUCCCCAUGAUCAAGUUUAUCUUUCCAUGCUCCACAUUCUCACUUCUUCUUAGUCCCUGCAAUUCAGAACAAAUAUGAAUACCGCAACCGGUAUCAAGGACCCAAGAGUUAGAAUAGAGUGAAUUAUUAGAUGAGAUAGUGUAAAUACCUGCAUGGUUGGGUUUAACUUUCCCAUCCUUCAAAUCUUGCUGGUACUUUGGGCAGUUACGCUUCCAGUGCGCCUUUUCGUGGCAGUAGAAGCAUUCAGCCUCUUUGGGAUCAGAAGAAGGUGUAACGAAACCUUUCUUGGUUCCGCUAGAAGAGGAGCCAUCAAGGGUCUUACCCUUGGUACCCUUCGAAGGGUUCUUUCUCUUCUUCCCUCUACCUUUCCCGAUUGCCAGGACAGGUGCUGAGUUUGGAGUAGUAGCAGGAGUGGUCACAACCGACUUACCUUUAAGACCUGAUUCUGCGGUCUUUAGGAGUCCCUGAAGUUUGCUAAGUGUAACUUCCUCCUUAUUCAUGUGGUAUGUCAUGCGGAAUUGAUCAUAACACGAAGGUAAGGAGUGCAAAAUAAUAUCUAUUGCUAACUCCUCAGGGAAGUUCACAUUCAACUUCAUCAAACGAUCCACAUACCUUUGCAUUUUCUGCAUGUGUCUUGUGAUGGGUUCACCAUCUUUCAUUCGGGUUGUGAUCAUAGAGGAGAUGAUUUCAUAUCGCUCUUGACGAGCACUCUGAUGGUAGCAGUCCAUCAAAGGGUUGGAACUAAAGUUUUUAAUAUACAUAUAUACAUAAUUAUUAAAUCAUAAUAAUAUAAGUAUUAAAUCAUAUAUAUAUAAUUAUUAAAUCAUAAUAAUAUAAGUAUAAGGGUAGAAUUUUAACUUUUAAAAAUCUAAGGGUUGGAACUAAAGUUUUUAAUAUGACUUUACUUGUUCCAAAACUUGAGGGCAAGUUUUGUAAACUUUCAAAAUUUUUCAUUUCUUAUAACUUAUGAAUUUAAUUGAGUAUUAAAAUGAAGACUCUUCAUUUUGCUAACUCUUGUGUUCUUUUAAUGGUUUUUUAUUAAAGUGUGACCUUUGGUUUUCCAUAACUUGAAGACAAGUUAUGGACUCCAUUAAAACACAUAAUGACUGUGAAUUAAACUACCAAGUAGGUUACACACAAUUCCUAUGAUUAUCUAAUCUUCAUAAGUUCAAGAACAUGAAUAUGAACAUUUNUACACUUAAAACUUUGUAAUUUUGAUAACUAGUUGUUGUAAAUGGAUUAGCAAAGACAUUACACCAUCUAAAACAAGUUUUCAAGUACCAAAACAGUUUAGGGUAAUGUUUCUAGUCCAUUUCCAGCAACUAAAGUCGAAAAUCUGCACUCUGUUGCUCCUACUCGCCGAGUGCAUGAACCUACUCGGCGAGUAGGUUGAAGAUACAAGUGAACUCGGCGAGUCCCCCCAUGGACUCGGCGAGUUCAUCAGCCAGACAACAAGCUUUUCGACUUUGUUCAACUAUUUAGCACAAAUAACAAACAAACAAACCAGGCUCUGAUACCACUGAUAGGUUUUGAGCAUUCUAACACUUCCUAAGUGUACAUGCAACCCUAAUAACCUUGGAUCUAUGUUUGUCUAAUUAUCAUGCAAAGUUGAAUUCCAAGGUUAUGAUCCUAUCUAGCAUACAUGGGGAACAAUUUUAACUUGAAUGAAAGAUAGAACUACAUACCUUGUUGUUGAUUUUGAUCCUUGAAACCUUGUGAGCCUAGCACCCCAAGUGUGAUGCCUCAAAUGCUUCACACAACACCAAAUGCUAUGGAGUAAACUUGGAGAGAAUUUAUAACACACUAAAAUCGGCUAUAACCCUCAAGUAUGCUUGUGUAACUGAUUUUGGGAGAAACAUAAGCUUUAUAUAGUGUUGACACAUCUAGGGUUACACCAUGUAAACCCUA